rnacentral:rRNA from 1 species
AUUGAACGCUAGCGGCAUGCUUAACACAUGCAAGUCGAGCGGCAGCGCGGGGAAACCUGGCGGCGAGCGGCGGACGGGUGAGUAAUACGUAGGAAUCUGCCUUGUAAUGGGGGACAACCCGGGGAAACUCGGGCUAAUACCGCAUAAUCUCUAAGGAGGAAAGUAGGGGACCUUCGGGCCUUACGUUAUAAGAUGAGCCUGCGUCGGAUUAGCUAGUCGGUGGGGUAAAGGCCUACCAAGGCAACGAUCCGUAGCUGGUCUGAGAGGACGAUCAGCCACACUGGGACUGAGACACGGCCCAGACUCCUACGGGAGGCAGCAGUGGGGAAUAUUGGACAAUGGGGGAAACCCUGAUCCAGCAAUGCCGCGUGUGUGAAGAAGGCCUUCGGGUUGUAAAGCACUUUCAGUGGGGAAGAACUAAUUCAAGGUUAAUAACCUUGAGUCUUGACAUUACCUACAGAAGAAGCACCGGCAAACUCUGUGCCAGCCGCCGCAGUAA